GUGCCAGCCGCCGCGGUAAUACGGAAGGGGCAAGCGUUGUUCGGAAUUAUUGGGCGUAAAGGGCGUGUAGGCGGCUUCAUAUGUCUGUGGUGAAAGCAUACGGCUCAACCGUAUUAAGCCGCGGAAACUGUGGAGCUUGAGGCUGGGAGGGGCUGGUGGAAUUCCCUGUGUAGCGGUGAAAUGCGUAGAGAUGGGGGAGAACACUCGCGGCGAAGGCGGCCAGCUGGACCAGUACUGACGCUGAGACGCGAAAGCGUGGGGAGCAAACAGGAUUAGAAACCCUUGUAGUCC
rnacentral:rRNA from 1 species